rnacentral:rRNA from 1 species
AUUGCCCCAGUAACGGCGAGUGAAGCGGCAAGAGCUCAAAUUUGAAAGCUGGCUCCUUCGGGGUCCGCAUUGUAAUUUGCAGAGGAUGCUUCGGGAGCGGUCCCCAUCUAAGUGCCCUGGAACGGGACGUCAUAGAGGGUGAGAAUCCCGUAUGGGAUGGGGUGUCCGCGCCCGUGUGAAGCUCCUUCGACGAGUCGAGUUGUUUGGGAAUGCAGCUCUAAAUGGGUGGUAAAUUUCAUCUAAAGCUAAAUAUUGGCCGGAGACCGAUAGCGCACAAGUAGAGUGAUCGAAAGAUGAAAAGCACUUUGAAAAGAGAGUUAAAAAGCACGUGAAAUUGUUGAAAGGGAAGCGCUUGCGACCAGACUCGCUCGCGGGGUUCAGCCGGCAUUCGUGCCGGUGUACUUCCCGCGGGCGGGCCAGCGUCGGUUUGGGCGGUCGGUCAAAGGCCCUCGGAAGGUAACGCCCCCAGGGGCGUCUUAUAGCCGAGGGUGCAAUGCGACCUGCCUAGACCGAGGAACGCGCUUCGGCUCGGACGCUGGCAUAAUGGUCGUAAACGACCCGUCUGAAACACGGACCAGGAGUCUACAUCUACGCGAGUGU